GGCUCAUUGGUCUAGGGGUAUGAUUCUCGCUUAGGGUGCGAGAGGUCCCGGGUUCAAGUCCCGGGUUCAAAUCCCGGACGAGCCC
rnacentral:tRNA from 1 species